CUUAGUUUAGGAAAACAAGGGGCAGAGUGUUCUUAGGAAGGUGCCAUCCCCUUUAAGCGGAUCUAUAAGCAUCACAGAUGAACAGAACUUUAAACAUUCCGCCAUGAAUAUUCAUGAAAUUGGGGAGCAGCGGGGAGAAACAAAAAUGAUCAUUUAAAUGCUAUGCUGUUCAAAAUUGAGAAGGCAAAAAACCCUGGGAUGCCCUGAUGGAAAGUGAGCAGCCCUAAUGACAUAGUCAGAAACGGAGGCUCAGUGACAUGCCACAGGCCACAUCAUUUAGCAAGUGGAG